CAACAUUCGAACCACCAGCAGCUGGUGGUCAAUUUCCUACGAACGCGACUUAAUUUUGGUUCAGACUGGAGUCGAGCGCUACGUUAUAGCUGUAUAUAUAGCUCGUUUCACGACGAAAUCUUCAUUUAUUGAGUUUGUCUGUCGAUUACGUUGGUAUCUGCAUUUUUAAUUUUGUAUUCGAAUGCCGUUCAUUUAUUUUAUUAAAUAGUUGUUUUUCGUAACAGCACACUAGUACGUGUUUCCUUUUGUUAUUCUUACAUAAUUAGGAAGAUUUUAAUCUUCAAGUUCAAUACUAUAAAUAAUCAAAUAUUUACGAACACCGAUCAUCGGUAUGUACCCAUUAUUGGUAUCGAAGUUUUAUGUUGAGCUGGAUAUCGAAAAAUUUCAAAUUGUAAUGCUGUAAUUUUGUACUUGUUUAGGUGUAAAACUAGGAUUAACAACUUGAUUGCUAGGAGCUAGGAAGAGAUUUUAGUAAUGAUGACCCUUUAAACUUAAACUGUCUCUCUAGUGCACUUCGAUCGGUUUUCUUUUCAAUUUUGAUAAAACCUAGUCGUGAUCUUUGUUUCAGAACUUCACUAAUUUAUUAAGUUUUGUAGUUUAUAUAGACGGAACAUGAGCAGAUACCAUUUGAUUAAUAAUAAUAUAUCCGAUUUGAUAUAUUAUUCUGUCGGAGUUUGAGUUCAACAUGGACACAUUUAUUAACAUCCCGCAUGAAUUUGUGUCGUCUUCACAAUUUUUUGCGCUGAAUUUGUAUGCUUAUUAAUACUGCCGCAUGAUAUCAGUAGCUGCUAUGAAACUAGAGUGUAUAGCAUGUGUAUUAUACGAUGUUUCCCACGUAAAAAUCGCAGGUUGUUUUGGUGCGGCUGGGCACUCUACUGGUGAUUGACACCAGAGACUGAGAAAAACUUUGACAUAAUUUCCAAGUUUGAUAUGACCUAAUAACUACCACAUUUACAGGAAGUAUGGUAAUACAUUCUUGUCAGCUGUCUGGGCAAAUCUUCUCUCGCAGAAUUGGAUUAAAAUUUAAUGUAUUUUAUUUCUCACUUCCAACGACAAACGAUGUCGCAAUUGUUAGGCAGCUAUCAAGUCUCAAGAUAUGACAUAAUUUGAUAGAAUGUUAGUACCAAUGCUAUCAGUGCAUUCAAGUCGAGUUCUCGAUACAGGGAGCUGCUGGUAAACUACCGUCGCUAUACAUCG